UACGUAGGGUGCAAGCGUUGUCCGGAAUUAUUGGGCGUAAAGAGCUCGUAGGCGGUCUGUCGCGUCUGCUGUGAAAACCUGGGGCUUAACCCCGGGCCUGCAGUGGGUACGGGCAGACUAGAGUGCGGUAGGGGAGACUGGAAUUCCUGGUGUAGCGGUGAAAUGCGCAGAUAUCAGGAGGAACACCGGUGGCGAAAGCAGCUUUCUGGGACGGUACUGACGCUGAGACGCGAAAGCGUGGGGAGCGAACAGG
rnacentral:rRNA from 1 species